rnacentral:pre_miRNA from 1 species
AACGGGAUUGCUGGGUGGUAUGAUAAGUGUAGGUUUACUUUGUGAAGAAACUGCCAAACUGUUUUCUAGAGUGGCUGCAUCAUUUUACAUUCCCACCAGCAAU